GGAAAAUGAACGAGGCACAUUAACUCAAAGAUUUUGGACUUAUAUCUGCGCAGAAUUAUUGUUAUCUCCUUGAGAAUAUAAGACUGCAUGGUAAGUUCCAGAUGGGAUUCCUCUGAAGUCCAGGUAAAUGAACUCAAGCGUAUCCUUCAUCCCAGUUCUGUGAUGAAAGCCUGCUGUUCCUUGGGAAGGCAAGAGGAGGAAUUUGAAUGGCAUCUUUGUUGGUGGAAGAGAGGGGAUGAUAAGAGUGCUUGUACAUGAUUCUUUGUAAGUUAUCUCCCUGCUACCUUUCUUUUUCUAAAACAUCCUAUAUAGAACUACAAGAUUAAUCUUUGCAAACACAGUUCAGAUCAUUUUUUUUUUCUGUUCAAAAUCUUCAGCAAGUCAGAGCUGGCUGAAUAAACUUUUAACUCACAGAAUUAAGACAGACUUUGAGUUGAUUAUCAUUAGGGAUCUAUUCAUCCCACCAAUUAUUUAGCACAUGUGUUUAUCUAAACUUGUGUUUAUCCCAUUGUCUGACUUCCUCUGGAACACACAGAGGGGCAGGAAACUUACUACCAAUUCCAUGUACUGUUCUGUUUCUCAUAACGUCCUCACAUUUAUUAAAAAAUCUGUCACCUUGCUGCUGCUGGAGAGCCACACAAAAUAAAUCAUAUUCCUGUCUAUGUAUGAGAGAUCAAUAUCUUGGACAUCAUAGAUCUUCUAAAUCUCAUCUCUCCUUUAAAUUUAGACAUUUCUCCAGCCAAUUUUUCUCCUGCAGUCCUUACCCAAGCUUCAAGUCUCCCUCUAAGAAAGCUCUCUUCGUAAUCCUCGCCCCCAGUCUCUUCUCCUAGAGAGAUGUAAUUUCUUUCCUGUCCUCACCUAAUGAGUAUGGUACUCCAUUUUAGGGACCUCUUCCUAUGCUUAUUACUUUCUACCUAUAUUUAUAGAAACAUUUUACAAAACAUUUCCAUGCCACAAUAUUCUCACAAGUUGUCAAUAGCAGUUAGUUGCAGGGAGUGGGGGUGGGGGAUAGCCCAUAAAACAACAUACAUUUAUUUCCUAACCAUAAAAUGGAUAUUGGUUACACAGAAUCCUCAGAAUACUAGAGGAUUUUCAAAUUUUGAAUUUGCAAGGGUAGAUGAAGGGUGUGCUGUGUAUUUGUUUCUAAACUAACUUGAUCAUAGAAUCCUGGGUUUCAUCUGAUUGGAUUUCUUGUGGUAAGCUCUUUUGACUAAUAGUUACUCUAACAAUGUCUCCUCUCUACUAUUUGAAUAGAAAGUCAUUAAUGGCCUCAGCACAUGUUUCAUAUAGCUUUGCAACUGCCACAGUGACUUCCCAUUGCCAAG
rnacentral:lncRNA from 1 species